rnacentral:rRNA from 1 species
AGGGCAAGUCUGGUGCCAGCAGCCGCGGUAAUUCCAGCUCCAAUAGCGUAUAUUAAAGUUGUUGCAGUUAAAAAGCUCGUAGUUGAAUUUCGGGGUUAGUAGGUUGGUCAUGCCACUGGUAUGUACUGAUCUUACUGAUUCCUCCUUCCUGAUGAACCGUAAUGCCAUUAAUUUGGUGUUGCGGGGAGACUGGACUGUUACUUUGAAAAAAUUAGAGUGUUUAAAGCAGGCUAACGCUUGAAUACAUUAGCAUGGAAUAAUGAAAUAGGACGUUCGAUCCUAUUUUGUUGGUUUCUAGGAUUGACGUAAUGAUUAAUAGGGAUAGUUGGGGGCAUUAGUAUUCAAUUGUCAGAGGUGAAAUUCUUGGAUUUAUUGAAGACUAACUACUGCGAAAGCAUUUGCCAAGGAUGUUUUCAUUAAUCAAGAACGAAAGUUAGGGGAUCGAAGACGAUCAGAUACCGCCGUAGUCUUAACCAUAAACUAUGCCGACUAGGGAUCGGAUGAUGUUAAUUUUUUAAUGACUCAUUCGGCGCCUUACGGGAA